GCUAUCAGUUUCUCUACUUGUUAUAGAGUUGGUAAGCGAACAGCAUGGAUCCUGAUCAGACUGCGCGGAUGCGCAGGCUGGUCUGGAUCCAUGCUGGUCGCAAACGCAGUAUGAUGGUUUUGUCGUGACGCGGCUCAAAUAUAUUCAUACGCAAUUUAUUAAUCGAACAGAUGAGUAACCAAGCAAGUCGAUGUUGCUAACCUGUCCGCGAGAGAUUAAUUUACUUCCUGGUUGAAAAUUAUGCGUUACUUAACAUUGUUAAUCAUUCAAAGUGUUUUAUUACUUUUGAUAUAUAGGAUAUAUUAAUUUACAAAUUGAUUUUAAUCUAAAUUUGGGAUUCUUUGGUGAUUAUUCUCAGAAGACAGAUCAUGAUGGCCGACAAUAGCGGAAAUGAUAUCAAGAAUGAAGAUCAGCAUGAAAAUAAUUCAGCAGCAAGACUAAAUGACGUUGUUUUAACUGGUAAGA